AGCGAUUAUAAAGUCUGUGUUGUGGCCUUCAGGACGGAGCAACAUCGAGAAAAAAAAACAAAAACACCAGCAACACCUGCGGGUUUCCCACAGAUAAAAACGCGACAGGGUAGACCAAUAAAAUAAAUCGUAGGCGGAAAACGUAAGCGACACAUACUAAUUUAAAGACGCGUAGAAAUGUGAUGAUUUUAGAUAAAUGAAAAGAAGACGUGGGCGGAGUUGGAUCAGGUCCGGCUCCACCCCUUUGGACUUGUGGUUCUGCAGCGAGUGAUAGUUGGUUGGAGGGGCUUCUGGAAACUUCGGAGGCUUCGAGACGCGUUUGUUACCUGCACGUCCUUCGUACACCAGCAGCAUCUUUCAGAUGCAGCCAUGAAGAAACCACAGUAACAGUCACGCUGCAGGAUGACUUUAGAGAUUGUAGUCCAUCUGUUUCUCUGCAUAAUUUGUUUACCCUUUUACCCUGUU